CCUACGGGGAGCUGCAGUGGGGAAUAUUGGGCAAUGGGCGCAAGCCUGACCCAGCAACGCCGCGUGAAAGAAGAAGGCUUUCGGGUUGUAAACUUCUUUUCUCAGGGACGAAGCAAGUGACGGUACCUGAGGAAUAAGCCACGGCUAACUACGUGCCAGCAGCCGCGGUAAUACGUAGGUGGCAAGCGUUAGCCGGGUUUACUGGGUGUAAAGGGCGUGUAGGCGGGACUGCAAGUCAGAUGUGAAAACCAUGGGCUCAACCUAUGGACUGCAUUUGAAACUGUAGUUCUUGAGUACUGGAGAGGCAGACGGAAUUCCUAGUGUAGCGGUGAAAUGCGUAGAUAUGAGGAGGAACACCAGUGGCGAAGGCGGUCUGCUGGACAGCAACUGACGCUGAGGCGCGAAAGCGUGGGGAGCAAACAGGAUUAGAUACCCGAGUAGUC
rnacentral:rRNA from 1 species